rnacentral:rRNA from 1 species
UGAGUAAUGUCUGGGAAACUGCCUGAUGGAGGGGGAUAACUACUGGAAACGGUAGCUAAUACCGCAUAACGUCUUCGGACCAAAGUGGGGGACCUUCGGGCCUCAUGCCAUCAGAUGUGCCCAGAUGGGAUUAGCUAGUAGGUGGGGUAAUGGCUCACCUAGGCGACGAUCCCUAGCUGGUCUGAGAGGAUGACCAGCCACACUGGAACUGAGACACGGUCCAGACUCCUACGGGAGGCAGCAGUGGGGAAUAUUGCACAAUGGGCGCAAGCCUGAUGCAGCCAUGCCGCGUGUAUGAAGAAGGCCUUCGGGUUGUAAAGUACUUUCAGCGAGGAGGAAGGCAUUAAGGUUAAUAACCUUAGUGAUUGACGUUACUCGCAGAAGAAGCACCGGCUAACUCCGUGCCAGCAGCCGCGGUAAUACGGAGGGUGCAAGCGUUAAUCGGAAUUACUGGGCGUACAGCGCACGCAGGCGGUCUGUCAAGUCGGAUGUGAAAUCCCCGGG